AAGAGGUGCUGCAUGGCUGUCGUCAGCUCGUGUUGUGAAAUGUCGGGUUAAGUCACGCAACGAGCGCAACCCCUAUCGUCUGUUGCCAGCAUUAAGUUGGGCACUCUGACGAGACUGCCUGGGUUAACCAGGAGGAAGGUGGGGAUGACGUCAAGUCCUCAUGGCCCUUAUGUCUAGGGCUACACACGUAAUACAAUGGCGCGUACAAAGGGAAGCGAACUCGCAAGGGGGAGCAAAUCUCAAAAAGCGCGUCUCAGUCCGGAUUGGAGUCUGCAACUCGACUCCAUGAAGUUGGAAUCGCUAGUA
rnacentral:rRNA from 1 species